UACGAAGGGUGCUAGCGUUGCUCGGAAUUACUGGGCGUAAAGCGCACGUAGGCGGCUUUUUAAGUCAGGGGUGAAAUCCUGGAGCUCAACUCCAGAACUGCCUUUGAUACUGAGAAGCUUGAGUCCGGGAGAGGUGAGUGGAACUGCGAGUGUAGAGGUGAAAUUCGUAGAUAUUCGCAAGAACACCAGUGGCGAAGGCGGCUCACUGGCCCGGUACUGACGCUGAGGUGCGAAAGCGUGGGGAGCAAACAGG
rnacentral:rRNA from 1 species